CCUGCAAGUCAGAAACUUCCAGACGCUGCUCCACCACCUCUGCACUGAUGCUGAGGACAACCACCGGUCCGUUCUGGAGCUCCACCCUCACACAGAAACAUAAGGGAAGCUAAACUCCGGCGAGAACUUCAGAGAGACGCUAACCGACAGGCCAGAGGCCAGAGAGACAGCUCCACAUGGUGGAUCAAGCUGGAACACCUGAGGGGGAAAUGGACAGAUGAGCUUCAUCCAGAUGGAACUGGGCGGCUCGGAGUGCGAGACGAGCCAGGGGCAGGGUCCACGGCCAAGUACAGUAGCAGGAGCAGAGACGAGCCAGAGGUGAGGUCCACAGCCAAGUACAGGAGAAGGGGCAGAAAUGAAUCAGACGCAAGGUCAACAGCCAAGUACAGGGGCACAGACGUCCCAACUGGAAUCUGGAAUCACUGCUUCUCCCCUGGAGAGGAGUGGGAAAGAGUAACAAUGCAUGUACAAAAUAUAAAAUCAGUUAUAAAAUACAAUAGAUAAUGGCAAAACUAAAUUUAACAGACCAAGCUAAACAGGGCAUCCUUGCCUUCAGAUGCUCCUCCUCGGUAAAGAAAAA